rnacentral:rRNA from 1 species
AGAGUUUGAUCCUGGCUCAGAAUGAACGCUAGCGGCGUGCUUAACACAUGCAAGUCGUACGAGAACUCUUUAGCUUGCUAAAGAUAGUAAAGUGGCGCACGGGUGAGUAACGCGUGGGUAAUCUACCUCUGAAUUUGGGAUAACUCCGCGAAAGCGGGGCUAAUACCGGAUAAUAUUUCAGGAUCUUCGGGUCUUGAAAUCAAAAGUGGCCUCUACAUGUAAGCUACUGUUUGGAGAUGAGCCCGCGUACCAUUAGCUUGUUGGUAGGGUAAUGGCCUACCAAGGCUUCGAUGGUUAGCUGGUCUGAGAGGAUGAUCAGCCACACUGGAACUGACACACGGUCCAGACUCCUACGGGAGGCAGC